GAGUCGGGACCUAAGGCGAGGCCGACAGGCGUAGUCGAUGGAUAACCAGUUGAUAUUCUGGUACCCGUACAUGCGCGCCCAUGAUGAAGCACUGAUACUAACCACCGCGGAUGCACUACCGGUACUCUUUGAGUGUUGGUGGUGUUGAUGUCGUGGGGCCUGAUGUGUGGUUCAAGUGAUGGGGUGACGCAGUGAGGUAGCCACGCCACUUAGUGGAUUGGUGGUGUAAGCGUGCAGAUCGUGUGGUAGGUAAAUCCGCCACACAUUGUGGUUGAGACGUGAUGCGUAGACCCAAUGGGGUUGAUGGUGGUGAUCCUGUACUGUCGAGAAAAGCCUCUAGCGAUGUGUGUGUAUGGCCCGUACCCUAAACCGACACAGGUAGUCAGGUUGAAAAUACUAAGGCGUUCGGGUGAACUGUGGUUAAGGAAUUCGGCAAAAUGCCCCCGUAACUUCGGGAGAAGGGGGGCCUCACGGCGUGAGCACUCUUUGCGGUGUUAAGCGUUGUGGGGUCGCAGAGAAUAGAGGGAAGCGACUGUUUAUCAAAAACACAGGUCCAUGCGAAGACGUGAAGUUGAUGUAUAUGGACUGACGCCUGCCCGGUGCUGGAAGGUUAAGAG
rnacentral:rRNA from 1 species